AUUGAACGCUGGCGGCAGGCUUAACACAUGCAAGUCGAGCGGGGUGAUGGUGCUUGCACUAUCACUUAGCGGCGGACGGGUGAGUAAUGCUUAGGAAUCUGCCUAUUAGUGGGAGGCAACAUCUCGAAAGGGAUGCUAAUACCGCAUACGUCCUACGGGAGAAAGCAGGGGAUCACUUGUGACCUUGCGCUAAUAGAUGAGCCUACGUCGGAUUAGCUAGUUGGUGGGGUAAAGGCCUACCAAGGGGACGAUCUGUAGCGGGUCUGGGAGGAUGAUCCGCCACACUGGGACUGAGACACGGCCCAGACUCCUACGGGAGGCAGCAGUGGGGAAUAUUGGACAAUGGGGGGAACCCUGAUCCAGCCAUACCGCGUGUGUGAAGAAGGCCUUAUGGUUGUAAAGCACUUUAAGCGAGGAGGAGGCUCUUUUGGUUAAUACCCAAGAUGAGUGGACGUUACUCGCAGAAUAAGCACCGGCUAACUCUGUGCCAGCCGCCGCCGUAA
rnacentral:rRNA from 1 species